AUGGACCUGCGAUGCAUUAGCUAGUUGGUAAGGUAACGGGCUUACCAAGGCGAUGAUGCAUAGCCCGAGUUGAGAGACUGAUCGGGCCACGUUGGGGACUGAGACACGGCCCAAACUCCUACGGGAGGCAGCAGUAGGGAAUCUUCCACAAUGGACGAAAGUCUGAUGGAGCAAACGCCGCGUGAGUGAAGAAGGUUUUCGGAUCGUAAAGCUCUGUUGUUGGUGAAGAAGGAUAGAGGUAGUAACUGGCCUUUAUUUGACGGUAAUCAACCAGAAAGUCACGGCUAACUACGUGCCAGCAGCCGCGAUAAAU
rnacentral:rRNA from 1 species